UACGUAGGGUGCAAGCGUUAAUCGGAAUUACUGGGCGUAAAGCGUGCGCAGGCGGUGAUGUAAGACAGUUGUGAAAUCCCCGGGCUCAACCUGGGAACUGCAUCUGUGACUGCAUUGCUGGAGUGCGGCAGAGGGGGAUGGAAUUCCGCGUGUAGCAGUGAAAUGCGUAGAUAUGCGGAGGAACACCGAUGGCGAAGGCAAUCCCCUGGGCCUGCACUGACGCUCAUGCACGAAAGCGUGAGGAGCAAACAGG
rnacentral:rRNA from 1 species